GUGGAUUUUUGGAAAACUAUGUAAAAAGAGAAAGCUUCAAACAUCUGCAUUUUGCCAUGUCACAUCAGAUUUAACGCAAGAUGGCCAAAGAAAAGGGACUGUACUGCAAGCACAUAAUUAGUUUCUUGGGGAAUAAUGCACAAAGGAAACAAAAAAAAAGACUAUGGAGUUGGUCACAUCUCUCAAAUACAUACAGGCCUUUAUGAAUCUUGCUAAAGGUGUGGUGUGUUCCAUUAAAAGCUGUCUUUUUCAAUUCAAGAUGGCUGCUGGGAACAGACAUCUU